UACGGAGGAUGCAAGCGUUAUCCGGAAUGAUUGGGCGUAAAGCGUCCGCAGGUGGCAAUGUAAGUCUGCUGUUAAAGAGCCUAGCUCAACUAGAUAAGAGCAGUGGAAACUACAUAGCUAGAGUACGUUCGGGGCAGAGGGAAUUCCUGGUGUAGCGGUGAAAUGCGUAGAGAUCAGGAAGAACACCGGUGGCGAAGGCGCUCUGCUAGGCCGUAACUGACACUGAGGGACGAAAGCUAGGGGAGCGAAUGGG
rnacentral:rRNA from 1 species